rnacentral:rRNA from 1 species
UACAGAGGUCCCAAGCGUUGUUCGGAUUCAUUGGGCGUAAAGGGCGCGUAGGCUGCGGGGCAAGUCGGGUGUGAAAUCUCAGAGCUCAACUCUGAAACUGCACUCGAUACUGCCGUGCUUGAGGACUGGAGAGGAGACUGGAAUUUACGGUGUAGCGGUGAAAUGCGUAGAUAUCGUAAGGAAGACCAGUGGCGAAGGCGGGUCUCUGGACAGUUCCUGACGCUGAGGCACGAAGGUCAGGGGAGCAAACGGG